rnacentral:rRNA from 1 species
GGGGUUAGUUUGACGCAUAUUGCACGUCGUGGGACCUACCAUGACGAACACAUACUUGAGCGCUU